UGUGGACAGUAUGGGAGUGAGAAUGUUGGCAUGAGUAGCGAGAUGUGGGUGAGAAUCCCACAGGCCGUAAACCCAAGGUUUCCAGGGGAAGGUUCGUCCGCCCUGGGUUAGUCGGGACCUAAGCUGAGGCCGAAAGGCGUAGGUGAUGGACAACAGGUUGAUAUUCCUGUACUACCGAUAACCGUUUGAGAGAAGGGAUGACACAGUAGGAUAAGCUAAGCACACUGUUGGUUAUGUGUGCCCAAGCAUUGAGGCAGUCAAAGUAGGCAAAUCCGCUUUGAUAAUGCUGGGAUGUGAUGGGGAGCGAAAUUUAGUAGCGAAGUAGCUGAUUUCACACUGUCAAGAAAAGUCUCUAUCGAGGUUAAAGGUACCCGUACCGCAAACCGACACAGGUGGGUGAGGAGAGUAUCCUAAGGCCAGCGAGAGAACUGUUGUUAAGGAACUCGGCAAAAUGACCCCGUAACUUAGGGAUAAGGGGUGCCACCAUCAGGUGGCCGCAGAGAAUAGGCCCAAGCGACUGUUUACCAAAAACAUAGGUUUCUGCUAAGUCGCAAGACGAUGUAUAGGAGCUGACGCCUGCCCGGUGCUGGAAGGUUAAGGGGAUCUGUUAGAGCAAUCGAAGCAGUGAACUUAAGCCCCAGUAAACGGCGGCCGUAACUAUAACGGUCCUAAGGUAGCGAAAUUCCUUGUCGGGUAAGUUCCGACCCGCACGAAAGGCGUAACGAUUUGGGCACUGUCUCAACAACAGACUCGGUGAAAUUGUAAUUCCGGUGAAGAUGCCGGAUACCUGCGACAGGACGGAAAGACCCCAUGGAGCUUUACUGUAGCUUGACAUUGGGUCUUGGUACUACAUGUACAGGAUAGGUGGGAGGCUUUGAAACCAGGACGCCAGUUUUGGCGGAGCCAUCCUUGGGAUACCACCCUUGUAGUACUGGGACUCUAACCAUAG
rnacentral:rRNA from 1 species